rnacentral:rRNA from 1 species
UACGAAGGGGACUAGCGUUGUUCGGAAUCACUGGGCGUAAAGCGCACGUAGGCGGAUUUGUAAGUCAGGGGUGAAAUCCCGGGGCUCAACCUCGGAACUGCCUUUGAUACUGCGAAUCUUGAGUCCGGAAGAGGUGAGUGGAACUCCUAGUGUAGAGGUGGAAUUCGUAGAUAUUAGGAAGAACACCAGUGGCGAAGGCGGCUCACUGGUCCGGUACUGACGCUGAGGUGCGAAAAGCGUGGGGGAGCAAACAGG